AUAUAUAAAGUAAAUAAAAGCUUUUCAUGGUGAGAAAACUUUGUGAUAGCUAUCUUCCUCACAGCAUAAUUCAUCAAGGUUCUAAAUAAUUCCACCAUAGAGUGGAAGUGUUUAAGCAUACUACAUGUGGAAAUCCAUUAACAAAGCUUGCAUGGCCUAGCUUAUAUAUUUUAAUCGUACUUUAAAGUAGCUUGUAUGUGUGGCAUUAACCAUUGCAAGGGAUUUUAUUAAUUUAAUUUUUUGCUUGUAUUUAAUAUUUAAUAUUUAAUUUGCUUUUCUCAAAAUGUAGCAGAUAGAAUUUGCGUGUAUGUAAUUUUCACUUCAAUUAAUUGAAAUAAAGACGAUAUCUAGUUCCAUUUAUUUUUAAACUAGCUUGGAGAGAGAGAGAUAUAUAUAUAUAUAUAGUUAGCUUGACUCCCCAUUUUGAACAACCCCACCCCUCCGUUUGAUUAACCAAGAGAAGCAUUAAAGGCAUUCCAAUCCAAUCAGACACUUAAUUUGCUAAACUAUCACUGAGCAUAUACUAUUCUUUUCAUAAUCAAACUAAAUAUGUACAUAUGUAGGCAGUUGAAUAGCCCUCCAAGAUCUUGUUAUGUUCCUUUGAACCUUAUGUAAUUGAAAAGAUACCAAGUCUUCAUUAAUAAAGUUAGUUAGCCCAUGUAAAUCCAGUAGGAACAAGCUUUGAAUAUGAGAGCCAAAUUUACAUGCCUGCUAUAAAAAAGGAUAAGGAAUAAUAACACUACGACCAAGUAUAAGAAUAUUCUUAUAUUUAUCUAAGAACUAAUACAGCUUAGAUUUCAAAUUUAUUUGUCUUGGGUCAUAAUUUAUCAAAUAACAUAAUGACAAGUCCAAAUAAACAAAUCAAAAUUUCAUGUUAUUUUGUUUAAUUUUCAAGUGCAUAAAAGAAGAGAAUUAGCUUUUCAAACUUUAUAAGCAUGCAUACAAACUAGCACUCAAGUUCCAAUGAGUUUGGGGAAGAAAACAAUGUAUGAAAUUUUUUCUUCAAGAAAAGUAACUUGUCAAUUAAUACAAUAUGUAAUUGAAAAAAUAUAUACUUAGAGAUUACAUACAAACAACAAAUAAAGUUAAGAUAAAUAAUUGUAGAGAUCAGACAAUGCUAUAUUUAUAGCCAUACUAAUAAUAGAGCCCACAUUCGCACUAAAUCAUCAAGGAUUAUUAUUCAUUUUAUCCUAAAAAAUCUAGAACAUUCACUUUAUACAAUAGGUUUGUAUAAAAGAAGUAAAGAAAUCAGCAAUGUUGGUUGACUUCAUAGUCCAUAAGAAGGCUUUCACACCAAUUCAAGUCAUCCGAGUUGCUCCACACAAGUGAGUUUGAAGGCAGCAGUGAAGUCAGCAGAGCAUCAGCAGUAAGCAGAGGAGAAAAAGAUUGGAAAAACAAAGAAGGUUAUUCAGGAGUAAGAGAUGGGGAAACAUGUUUAGGUUGUUCGCGAGGAGGAAGAGAUUGUGCAAAUGGAGUAGGCUACUGAAGAUGGAGAAGAUCUUGUUGUAAUGGAAUACUGAAAUCAACAGAAAGCUGAGGAGAAAUAUAGUGGAAAAAUGGAGAAGGUAGUUGAUGCGGGUGAAGAUACUGCGGCUGUUGCGAAGGCAUGAAAAUCGCUUGUUGCGCCUGAAGCCAUCCCAGUUCCUCUGUACUUUGGCAUUGGAGGAAAUCUAUCCUCUCCUGCAACUCUAUUAAUUUGAUUUUGAUGGCUACUUUCUCUUCAAGGAAUGUCAGCAAAGGAAAGGAAGGAGAAGGCAUCGAUUGGCAUGGAAUUUGUUGUUCGGGCGUUGAGUUCUGAAGAAAAGGAAGCAACUAGUACGUCCACGCUGCAGAGGAGCGAGAGCUUGCCGACCUUCUGCUGCAUUUUGCUAGAUUGUGUAAUCGUGCUCUUUUGUUGGUAGGAUAUUUGGGUAAUCUAUUUGCUUCUUUUUGGGUUUUCUGCUGCCUCAUUUUGUUUGGGUGUGCGUUGUGACUGGUGGUUGGUGAGUUGGGUGCCUAUGUUUCGGCUUGGUCAUUGGGUUGUUUGGUGUGGUUUGAGUGUUUGGGUGAGCAAAUUUCUUUGUUCUUUUGGUUUCUGGUGUGUGUUAGGGUGGAGCCUUUGUUGUGCUGCCUCUCUUUGGGAGAAUUAUUGUUUCCCCUGUUGGGCUGGCUGGUUUGGUUUAGUAGGCUGGCUGUUUUGGUGAGUGGUUUGGUCCUCAACCAUGUGUUAUUCUUCUUUAUUAGAUCUCAAAUUUGGUUUUGUUAAGAGUUUUCCUUUUGGGUUUUCGUUCCCUUUGUGUCUUUUCUAUGUCGGGUUUUGGUUUGAGAUCUCUCUAUUUGCUGAGGGACAAUGAAUUUUCUGGAUCUUAUUCUGUUGCUAUAUAUUGUGGAGCAUGUUUGCAGCUAUGGUUAUCGGUGGCAUCAAUGAGAUUUUUUGGCUA